rnacentral:rRNA from 1 species
CGCGUAGGCGGCCAGCGCAAGUCAGUUGUGAAAUCUCCGGGCUUAACUCGGAAAGGUCAACUGAUACUGCGCGGCUAGAGUGCGGAAGGGGCAACUGGAAUUCUCGGUGUAGCGGUGAAAUGCGUAGAUAUCGAGAGGAACACCUGCGGCGAAGGCGGGUUGCUGGGCCGACACUGACGCUGAUGUGCGAAACGCCAGGGGAGCGAACG